rnacentral:rRNA from 1 species
AGUGAACGCUGGCGGUAGGCCUAACACAUGCAAGUCGAACGGCAGCACAGUAAGAGCUUGCUCUUACGGGUGGCGAGUGGCGGACGGGUGAGGAAUACAUCGGAAUCUACUUUUUCGUGGGGGAUAACGUAGGGAAACUUACGCUAAUACCGCAUACGACCUACGGGUGAAAGCAGGGGAUCUUCGGACCUUGCGCGAUUGAAUGAGCCGAUGUCGGAUUAGCUAGUUGGCGGGGUAAAGGCCCACCAAGGCGACGAUCCGUAGCUGGUCUGGGAGGAUGAUCAGCUACACUGGAACUGAGACACGGUCCAGACUCCUACGGGAGGCAGCAGUGGGGAAUAUUGGACAAUGGGCGCAAGCCUGAUCCAGCCAUACCGCGUGGGUGAAGAAGGCCUUCGGGUUGUAAAGCCCUUUUGUUGGGAAAGAAAAGCAGCAGGUUAAUACCCCGCUGUUCUGACGGUACCCAAAGAAUAAGCACCGGCUAACUUCGUG